rnacentral:rRNA from 1 species
GACGAACGCCGGCGGCGUGCCUAAUACAUGCAAGUCGAACGAGAGCGGCCGGUGCUUGCACUGGUCAAUCUAGUGGCGAACGGGUGAGUAACACGUGGGUAACCUGCCCAUCAGAGGGGGAUAACAUCCGGAAACGGAUGCUAAAACCGCAUAGGUCUUCGAGCCGCAUGGCUUGAAGAGGAAAAGAGGCGCAAGCUUCUGCUGAUGGAUGGACCCGCGGUGCAUUAGCUAGUUGGUGAGGUAACGGCUCACCAAGGCCGUGAUGCAUAGCCGACCUGAGAGGGUGAUCGGCCACAUUGGGACUGAGACACGGCCCAAACUCCUACGGGAGGCAGCAGUAGGGAAUCUUCCGCAAUGGACGCAAGUCUGACGGAGCAACGCCGCGUGAGUGAAGAAGGUCUUCGGAUUGUAAAACUCUGUUGUUAGAGAAGAACAAGUGCUAGAGUAACUGUUAGCGCCUUGACGGUAUCUAACCAGAAAGCCACGGCUAACUACGUGCCAGCAGCCGCGGUAAUACGUAGGUGGCAAGCGUUGUCCGGAUUUAUUGGGCGUAAAGCGAGCGCAGGCGGUUCCUUAAGUCUGAUGUGAAAGCCCCCGGCUCAACCGGGGAGGGUCAUUGGAAACUGGGGAACUUGAGUGCAGAAGAGGAGAGUGGAAUUCCAUGUGUAGCGGUGAAAUGCGUAGAUAUAUGGAGGAACACCAGUGGCGAAGGCGACUCUCUGGUCUGUAACUGACGCUGAGGCUCGAAAGCGUGGGUAGCAAACAGG